UCCCUGGUGGCUCAGAUGGUAAAUCAUCUGCCUACAAUGCAGGAGACCCAGGUUCGAUCCCUGGGUUGGGAA
rnacentral:tRNA from 1 species